CACCAGACUCCUACGGGAGGCAGCAGUGAGGAAUAUUGGUCAAUGGGCGGAAGCCUGAACCAGCCAAGUCGCGUGAGGGAAGAAGGCCCUGCGGGUCGCAGACCUCUUUGGACGGGGAGCAAGGCCGCCGACGUGUCGGCGGAAGGAGAGUACCCGUAGAACAAGCAUCGGCUAACUCCGUGCCAGCAGCCGCGGUAAUACGUAUGAUGCGAGCGUUGUCCGGAUUUACUGGGCGUGAAGGGGGCGCAGGCGGCGCGCCAAGCCCGAUGUGAAAGCCCGGGGCUCAACCCCGGGACUGCAUUGGGAACUGGCGUGCUGGAGUGCCGGAGGGGCAGGCGGAAUUCCUGGUGUAGCGGUGAAAUGCGUAGAUAUCAGGAGGAACACCGGUGGCGAAGGCGGCCUGCUGGACGGAUACUGACGCUGAGGCCCGAAAGCGUGGGGAGCGAACAGGAUUAGAUACCCUAGUAUC
rnacentral:rRNA from 1 species